GAUCAUGGCUCAGGAUGAACGCUGGCGGCGUGCCUAAUACAUGCAAGUCGAACGCUGGAAAUCUAGCUUGCUAGAUUGAAGGAGUGGCGAACGGGUGAGUAAUACAUAAGCAACCUACCCACGAAGACUGGGAUAAUCUCUGGAAACGGGGACUAAUACCGGAUAGGUAAUCGGAAGGCAUCUUCUGAUUAUUAAAGGUUAAAAACACUGGUGGAUGGGCUUAUGGCGCAUUAGUUAGUUGGUG
rnacentral:rRNA from 1 species